rfam:Triticum urartu cultivar G1812 contig484794, whole genome shotgun sequence.
UUUGUACUCCCUCCGUUCCGAAUUACUUGUCGCAGGUAUGGAUGUAUCUAGAUGUAUUUUAGUUCUAGAUACAUCCAUUUCUGCAACGAGUAAUUAGGAACGGAGGGAGUAUAAU